rnacentral:misc_RNA from 1 species
GAUGAAGAACGUAGCGAAAUGCGAUACGUAAUGUGAAUUGCAGAAUUCAGUGAAUCACCGAAUCUUUGAACGCAUAUUGCGCUCUCUGGUAUUCCGGAGAGCAUGCUUGUUUGAGUAUCAGUAAACACCUCAACUCCCUUUUCUUUUUUGAAAUGGGAGCUGGACUUGAGUGAUCCCAACACUUUUCUCACUGGAAAGUGGCGGGUCACUUGAAAUGCAGGUGCAGCUGGACUUUUCUCUGAGCUAUAAGCAUAUCUAUUUAGUCUGCCUAAAAAACAGAUUAUUACCUUUGCUGCAGCUAACAUAAAGGAGAUGAGUUCUUGUGCUGACUGAUGCAGGAUUCACAGAGACAGCUUUGCGGCUGACUUUGUAAACUCGAUCUCAAAUCAAGUAAGACUACCCGCUGAACUUAAGCAUAUCAAUAAGCGGAGGA